GACGUAGGUGGCGAACGUUAUCCGGAAUUACUGGGCGUAAAGGGCUUGUAGGUGGCCAACUAAGUCAGACGUGAAAUCCCUCAGCUUAACUGGGGAACUGCGUCUGAUACUGGAUGGCUUGAGUUUGGGAGAGGGAUGCGGAAUUCCAGGUGUAGCGGUGAAAUGCGUAGAUAUCUGGAGGAACACCGGUGGCGAAGGCGGCAUCCUGGACCAACACUGACACUGAGGAGCGAAAGCCAGGGGAGCAAACGGG
rnacentral:rRNA from 1 species